CCCGGGGUGCUAGCUCCCUUGCAGAGAUAACUUUGAUGGCUGAUAUCCUCCCUUUCAAUCAAUCCUUGAUUGUGCUUGGGAGGAGGAAGAAGAAGGAUGAAGAAAAGAAGAGGAACGAAGCCCUGCAGCCUUCUUUUUCUUCCUUGCGUUUGGACCAAACGGUGGAGGAAGAAGGAGGCAACCAAGAUCCUUUUCUUCCCUUUGUUGUUGGUGGCUGAAAAGAGAGGAGAGGAGGGUGGCCACGUGAUGGAGAGGAGGAGGGCUUCACUUAUCAUUAGGGCACCUCCUUUCAAAGCCUUAUAAAGGCAUCUAGGGCUCCUAUUUGGUUUAGUCCAAAUAAUAAAUCAAUUGGGUUCAAUCUAUGGUAGUCCUAAUCCAAUUAGAACUUGAAUGAACCAUGACUCAAUUGAACUCUUCAAUCCUAA
rnacentral:lncRNA from 1 species